GGGUUGUGAGGUUAAGCGACUAAGCGUACACGGUGGAUGCCCUGGCAGUCAGAGGCGAUGAAGGGCGUGCUAAUCUGCGAUAAGCGCCGGUAAGGUGAUAUGAACCGUUAUAACCGGCGAUACCCGAAUGGGGAAACCCAGUGUGAUUCGUCACACUAUCAUUAACUGAAUCCAUAGGUUAAUGAGGCGAACCGGGGGAACUGAAACAUCUAAGUACCCCGAGGAAAAGAAAUCAACCGAGAUUCCCCCAGUAGCGGCGAGCGAACGGGGAGGAGCCCAGAGCCUGAAUCAGCAUGUGUGUUAGUGGAAGCGUCUGGAAAGGCGCGCGAUACAGGGUGACAGCCCCGUACACAAAAGCGCAUGUGCUGUGAGCUCGAUGAGUAGGGCGGGACACGUGGUAUCCUGUCUGAAUAUGGGGGGACCAUCCUCCAAGGCUAAAUACUCCUGACUGACCGAUAGUGAACCAGUACCGUGAGGGAAAGGCGAAAAGAACCCCGGCGAGGGGAGUGAAAAAGAACCUGAAACCGUGUACGUACAAGCAGUGGGAGCACAGGUUUACCUGUGUGACUGCGUACCUUUUGUAUAAUGGGUCAGCGACUUAUAUUCUGUAGCAAGGUUAACCGAAUAGGGGAGCCGGAGGGAAACCGAGUCUUAAUUGGGCGUUAAGUUGCAGGGUAUAGACCCGAAACCCGGUGAUCUAGCCAUGGGCAGGUUGAAGGUUGGGUAACACUAACUGGAGGACCGAACCGACUAAUGUUGAAAAAUUAGCGGAUGACCUGUGGCUGGGGGUGAAAGGCCAAUCAAACCGGGAGAUAGCUGGUUCUCCCCGAAAGCUAUUUAGGUAGCGCCUCGUGAAUUCAUCUCCGGGGGUAGAGCACUGUUUCGGCUAGGGGGCCAUCCCGGCUUACCAACCCGAUGCAAACUGCGAAUACCGGAGAAUGUUAUCACGGGAGACACACGGCGGGUGCUAACGUCCGUCGUGAAGAGGGAAACAACCCAGACCGCCAGCUAAGGUCCCAAAGUCAUGGUUAAGUGGGAAACGAUGUGGGAAGGCCCAGACAGCCAGGAUGUUGGCUUAGAAGCAGCCAUCAUUUAAAGAAAGCGUAAUAGCUCACUGGUCGAGUCGGCCUGCGCGGAAGAUGUAACGGGGCUAAACCAUGCACCGAAGCUGCGGCAGCGACGCUGAUGCGUUGUUGGGUAGGGGAGCGUUCUGUAAGCCUGCGAAGGUGGCCUGUGAGGGUUGCUGGAGGUAUCAGAAGUGCGAAUGCUGACAUAAGUAACGAUAAAGCGGGUGAAAAGCCCGCUCGCCGGAAGACCAAGGGUUCCUGUCCAACGUUAAUCGGGGCAGGGUGAGUCGACCCCUAAGGCGAGGCCGAAAGGCGUAGUCGAUGGGAAACGGGUUAAUAUUCCCGUACUUGGUGUUACUGCGAAGGGGGGACGGAGAAGGCUAUGUUGGCCGGGCGACGGUUGUCCCGGUUUAAGCGUGUAGGUGUGUGUUCCAGGUAAAUCCGGUUCACUUUAACACUGAGGCGUGACGACGAGGCACUACGGUGCUGAAGCAACAAAUGCCCUGCUUCCAGGAAAAGACCUCUAAGCAUCAGGUAACACGAAAUCGUACCCCAAACCGACACAGGUGGUCAGGUAGAGAAUACCAAGGCGCUUGAGAGAACUCGGGUGAAGGAACUAGGCAAAAUGGUGCCGUAACUUCGGGAGAAGGCACGCUGAUAUGUAGGUGAAGCGGUUUACCCGUGGAGCUGAAAUCAGUCGAAGAUACCAGCUGGCUGCAACUGUUUAUUAAAAACACAGCACUGUGCAAACACGAAAGUGGACGUAUACGGUGUGACGCCUGCCCGGUGCCGGAAGGUUAAUUGAUGGGGUCAGCGCAAGCGAAGCUCCUGAUCGAAGCCCCGGUAAACGGCGGCCGUAACUAUAACGGUCCUAAGGUAGCGAAAUUCCUUGUCGGGUAAGUUCCGACCUGCACGAAUGGCGUAAUGAUGGCCAGGCUGUCUCCACCCGAGACUCAGUGAAAUUGAACUCGCUGUGAAGAUGCAGUGUACCCGCGGCAAGACGGAAAGACCCCGUGAACCUUUACUAUAGCUUGACACUGAACAUUGAGCCUUGAUGUGUAGGAUAGGUGGGAGGCUUUGAAGUGUGGACGCCAGUCUGCAUGGAGCCGACCUUGAAAUACCACCCUUUAAUGUUUGAUGUUCUAACGUGGACCCGUUACCCGGGUUGCGGACAGUGUCUGGUGGGUAGUUUGACUGGGGCGGUCUCCUCCUAAAGAGUAACGGAGGAGCACGAAGGUUGGCUAAUCCUGGUCGGACAUCAGGAGGUUAGUGCAAUGGCAUAAGCCAGCUUGACUGCGAGCGUGACGGCGCGAGCAGGUGCGAAAGCAGGUCAUAGUGAUCCGGUGGUUCUGAAUGGAAGGGCCAUCGCUCAACGGAUAAAAGGUACUCCGGGGAUAACAGGCUGAUACCGCCCAAGAGUUCAUAUCGACGGCGGUGUUUGGCACCUCGAUGUCGGCUCAUCACAUCCUGGGGCUGAAGUAGGUCCCAAGGGUAUGGCUGUUCGCCAUUUAAAGUGGUACGCGAGCUGGGUUUAGAACGUCGUGAGACAGUUCGGUCCCUAUCUGCCGUGGGCGCUGGAGAACUGAGGGGGCUGCUCCUAGUACGAGAGGACCGGAGUGGACGCAUCACUGGUGUUCGGGUUGUCAUGCCAAUGGCACUGCCCGGUAGCUAA
rnacentral:rRNA from 1 species